AAAUUAGGCGUUACGGACAAGUACACGUUUUGUGAUUUUUCCUAAGUGCGAGGUGACCAUUUCUGACGCCUUCCGUGCAGGAGGUGAGAGGAACUACAUCACGUUUACUGAAUUGUCAGAAUUCUGAAGCAAAUUACAAGUGGUGAAUAAACAAUUUGGAGAAGGACUUGGGAAAGUAUGUAACGGGAAUGAAUUUCUCAACUCUAUAAUGGCAUCUAAUUCAGCUGUGGAAAUUGACAGUGAAAGUGAUAACUCUUCUGGUAGCAGCCUAUUUAAAACUCAGUGUGUCCCUUACUCACCGAAGAGGGUGCAAAGAAACCGUACUAGAAAGUUUGUUCAUGCACCUGAAGUUGCUCAAGCAAGGGAUUCAUCUAGUGAUUCAUCUUUCGAACCAAGACCGUUGACUUUAAAAGCUAUUUUUGAGAGAUUCAAAAAAAGAAAACGUAAAAAGAAGAAAUACAAACCAACAGGAAGAUCAAAAGGAAGACCAAAAGGGAGAAAAAACAGUAGACGUUCCCAGAUAAAUAAGAAACAAGUUCAAGACAAAGGAGCUGGGUUCCCAUUUUUAGAAUCCGAGAAUGCAAGAAAACCAUUACCUUGGAGAAAGAUUUUAACCUUUGAGCAAGCAGUGGCAAGAGGAUUUUUCAACUACCUUGAAAAACUGAAGUAUGAAUACUACCUCAAGGAAUCCUUGAAACAAAUGAAUGUUGGUGAAGAUUUAGAAAAAGAAGAUUUUGAUAGUCGUAGAUACAAAUACUUGGAUGAUGAUGGAGCUCUGUCGCCUAUUGAGGAGUCAGAAACAGAGGAUGGGUCUGCAACAAAUGUUGAACAAAAUGGCGAAUGUGAUAUCAAAUUGGUGGACCAUAAUGAGUUCAUUAUAAGUUCUCAAGUACCAAAGAUGAAGAAUGUGUAUUUAGAACAAGAGGAAUGUACUGAAGAAGCUGCUUUGUCUAAAAAGAGAGCAUCAAAGUUUAAAAACAUUGGACAGAGUAUAGAAUGGCCUGAAAAGAGAUAGGAAUAUGAAUGUUAAGGCUUUUCACUUGAACACAAUGUCUGGGCUUAAAGGUACAUCUUACACUUAUAGGUAUUGGUGUAUCCCAAUAAUCUGUACAGUUCUAGGGUGAUAGUUUAGGGGUGAAUAUGAUUUCAACUCACUCAUAUUUAGAGGGUGUUUGAAAUUGAGAACCAGGCAGAUCCACACUCAGACCGUAAACAGGGCCCUGAAGUAAAGACAUUGGAUCCGGAUCCCAAAGAUUACAGGUGGGGAGUUCUUAAAGUAUGUCCGUAUUCAAGUGGAGAUGCAAGAAACGCAGCUGAAAGAACUCUGGCAAGUUAAUUUGCUGUUGCACUGUAUAAUGGUAUAAUGGUCAUUACCAAGGCUUUGAGAAUGCAGUUUCUCAUUUGCUGUGGACAUGACCAUAAAAAAAUCUUCCCACUAGGUUUUCUUUCUUUCUGCUACUUUGCUAGCAUUCAGCCUAUUGGGAACAUUUUACCACUCUGUUCUUUUCCAUUGCCUUAGACUAGCCCUGUCCAGUAUAAAUUUAACAGAAGCCAUACGUGAUUUGGUAAUGGUCCUAUUUCAUCUUCUCAUCUGAACAUACAUGGCUAGUAUACUGAACAGUGAAUGCCUAGAUCUCUAAGAGAUGUCUUUUGCUAACUCCUUCCAUAUUGUAAAUAACCGUGCAACUUGUAAUAUAUUUAAUAGAGGGAGGCUGGCUUCAGUUUACAUGAUCAUCUCUGGAAAUGGAACCUUACUUUAUGUUCCUGUUAUAUAGGAGUGACAGUGACAACUGUGGAUUGAUCAAGUUCUUUUUAAAAGGGCUGUUCUGAAGAUUAUGAUUCUAACUUUGGAGGAACUAUGGUGAUGAGCAGUGAGUGGCAGUGGAAGGAAUCACAUGUAAAAACUGCUUAAAUAAAAAUUUAUUGGCUUUAAAUAAA